CCACUCAUCCACCUUAACAACUCUUAAAAAGGAUCUACAGUCAACAAUUAUUAAAAAUAAAAAUAAUAAAAAUUCCAACAAUAAUGUUUACAAGUUGCACAAUUACUAUCUGAAAAUUUGUUUCCACCACAAUGUCAGCAAUCCGCUACUGGUGUACAAGCGCUUCACACAUGGAAAGAAGAAAGAAUUACAGCUGGCUCAGUCACUUGAUGAUGCAGCAGAUGUGGAGCAAGUUAACAAUCAUGCAAUGGAGCAGUGGAGUUAUACCAUAGUGGAUUUGUUCCGUUAUUAGAAGCUGUAAAUAUUUCAGUUUCAUUUUAUUUUCCU
rnacentral:misc_RNA from 1 species